AAUUAAUAAUCAAAAAGAUAAACCAUGUUAUAAGUACUUAACAAACUUAUAAACUAUUUCUUCCAUAACAUUCUCCAUAUUUUAAGUUCAUACAUGUUGAUAUGAUCAGAUUUACAAUUUUUCAGAAAAGACGGGGGAAAAGGUGUGAUUAUCAUCAGCUAGAUGUGCUCACUGCAUGCUCCAUUAUUUAUCUGCAAGGCCUGGGUGACUGGAAGUGCAGUUGACAGGCAUUUUAAUAAACUGGACAGCCAUUUGUUCUUCAGGACAAGGCGUGUUUUCCCCAGGAGCAAUCAGAAGAAAACAGGAAGCAGCUCAGCACUCUGCACUGCAACAGGAAACAGCUCAGCACUCUGCACUGCAACAGGCCACCUUAACAGCUAACCAGCAUC
rnacentral:lncRNA from 1 species